AUGAACGCUGGCGGCGUGCCUAAUACAUGCAAGUCGAGCGAACAGACGAGGAGCUUGCUCCUCUGACGUUAGCGGCGGACGGGUGAGUAACACGUGGAUAACCUACCUAUAAGACUGGGAUAACUUCGGGAAACCGGAGCUAAUACCGGAUAAUAUAUUGAGCCGCAUGGUUCAAUAGUGAAAGACGGUUUUGCUGUCACUUAUAGAUGGAUCCGCGCCGCAUUAGCUAGUUGGUAAGGUAACGGCUUACCAAGGCAACGAUGCGUAGCCGACCUGAGAGGGUGAUCGGCCACACUGGAACUGAGACACGGUCCAGACUCCUACGGGAGGCAGCAGUAGGGAAUCUUCCGCAAUGGGCGAAAGCUUGACGGAGCAACGCCGCGUGAGUGAUGAAGGUCUUCGGAUCGUAAAACUCUGUUAUUAGGGAAGAACAAAUGUGUAAGUAACUAUGCACGUCUUGACGGUACCUAAUCAGAAAGCCACGGCUAACUACGUG
rnacentral:rRNA from 1 species